CUUCUUGGGGAGGGGACAGCGCUGUCGGCUGCUCCGGGAUGGGGUGGCGUUGCUGGCUGCUAGGGGUGGGGCGGCGUCUGAUUCUCCAUGAGCAGGAGGAAAGGGAGAACAAGCGGGAGAAGGGAGGGAAUGAGCUGUAGAACUUUCUCCUGGAACCAUUGUUAUGAACCAAUCAACUCUUUGAGAAUUAAAGGUAUGCCAAUAUAGUCGGCUACUAUUCUCAUGUUGGUUUGCUAUCUACUAUUUUCAUACCUAAUUUGGCUUGCCUGUGGUUUCUUCUGUUGUAUAGAUGCGUUGGUAUGAACCAUUGUUUGGACUGCACCCCUAAUGUAAAAUACCAAGUAUUUGCAAUGCUUGAUUGUUGUGCAAACUUUUCUUGUAAUUUUGAUGCCUUGGUGCAUGAGCUAUACAAUGAUCCACUAUAUUUAGUUUGCGUCGCUACACACAUUUGGCGGUAGCCAUCGGCCAUCACGUCUUCUGGCCUGCAGCUCGCCAACCUCGCCUGCUCGAACCCAAGACACCACUACUUCUAGGUCCCACAGCUUGAUCCCGCCAAGAGAAGGCAGGAGGUGGAGGAAGCUGAGAGGGAGAGGGCAAGGAGAUCUCGGUCUGCACAUUGCGUCUCCCACAAGCUACUGCGGCGGGAGAAUCCUAUAUCCAACAUCCUUCUCAAAGCCUGCAGCUACUGCCUCCCCAAGCAAUGCCAACCUGUAGCAACAAGGGUUCAGAUUUUAAGAUCUCCAGUGAGCUUCCAUAGGAUUGGCAGGAGAGGAGGAGCAGAGCUGACCAACUCUGCUCAAGAUCACCUUUCUACAACAAUGUAAGCAGCUUCCCUCACGAGGUGUACCACGAGAUCAUACUGUACACGAGUGCUUUGGAGAAAAAAAUUCCAUCAUUGUGCUAUUGA